rnacentral:rRNA from 1 species
UACAUGGGGUGCAAACGUUGCUCGGAAUCAUUGGGCGUAAAGCGCGCGUAGGCGGUUACUUAAGUCGCAUGUGAAAGCCCUCGGCUUAACCGAGGAAGUGCAUCCGAAACUGAGUAGCUAGAGUACGAAAGAGGGUCGCGGAAUUCCCGGUGUAGAGGUGAAAUUCGUAGAUAUCGGGAGGAACACCGGUGGCGAAGGCGGCGACCUGGGUCGAGACUGACGCUGAGGCGCGAAAGCGUGGGGAGCAAACAGG